ensembl:snRNA U6 U6 spliceosomal RNA
GUGCUUGCUUCGGCAGCACAUAUACUAAAAUUGGAACGAUACAGAGAAGAUUAGCAUGGCCCCUGCACAAGGAUGACACACAAAUUCAUGGAGCAUUCUGUAUUUUU